GACGAACGCUGGCGGCGUGCUUAACACAUGCCAGUCGAACGGAAAGGCCCUGCUUUUGUGGGGUGCUCGAGUGGCGAACGGGUGAGUAACACGUGAGUAACCUGCCCUUGACUUUGGGAUAACUUCAGGAAACUGGGGCUAAUACCGGAUAGGAGCUCCUGCUGCAUGGUGGGGGUUGGAAAGUUUCGGCGGUUGGGGAUGGACUCGCGGCUUAUCAGCUUGUUGGUGGGGUAGUGGCUUACCAAGGCUUUGACGGGUAGCCGGCCUGAGAGGGUGACCGGCGACAUUGGGCCUGAGAUACGGCCCAGACUCCUACGGGAGGCAGCAGGGGGGAAUAUUGCACAAUGGGCGGAAGCCUGAUGCAGCAACGCCGCGUGCGGGAUGACGGCCUUCGGGUUGUAAACCGCUUUCGCCUGUGACGAAGCGUGCGUGACGGUAAUGGGUAAAGAAGCACCGGCUAACUACGUG
rnacentral:rRNA from 1 species